rnacentral:lncRNA from 1 species
UCUUUCCCUGUGAACUUCAGGUUUAUCUUCAUAUACACUGUGAUGAUGAUGUAAUGGUGAAAAAAACAAAACAGAGAUCACCGUCACUUUCUGUCUUUGACUACCAAGUUCCUGGCAAAGCACGUAGUUUUGUUUGAAUUGGGACCGACGGUCUUGUGAGUCUUUGUGAAGUCAUGCACAAUUUAGGCAACAAACGUUGGCAUAGCCCCAGCCUCCCCGUGUUCACAGCCUUGAAUCUUUCACAGGUUCCACACACUGGUGGUGAUUCACUGCACUGUACAUACAACACUGAGACAUUUUAGCAACUUGUCCAUGACACUUGCGAGUCUGCUCCUGAACGCCCGCUGCGCAGAUAUUUUGAGUCUGUCUCAUACGGUGGAACGAAGCAAUAGAGGGAAACAUCACUUCUCCUCCGGUUUGGAGAUCCCGAUGAGUCUGCAUUUCUGGAGCGCCAUCUGGCAUGGCAGGAACAAAAUUCUCAUAGCUAGCCGAAAACUCUUCAAUGCCAAAUGUAAAAGAUCACAACAAUCCCUUCCACAAUUGUGAGUUGGCAGCGCUUCUUGAUAAAUUUGGAAGGCAUUUACAGUGACUAUAUCCAACUUUAACUGGGCGGUGUCUUGGUUUCUUUUCUGUUGCUGUGAUUUUAAAACAAAACAAAACAAAAAAAGAAACAAAAAUCAGGUGGGGAAAAAAAGCCAUUUAAGGGAGAAAGGAGUGCUUUCGGCUCACAGUUCGUGGUCCGUCAGGGUGGAAGUCGUGGCCAUGGGAAGUUAAGGCAGCUGGGCAAGUUAUGUCCACAGUUAGAAGACAGUGAUGAAAGCCACACUAGGGAUCAAAGCAUAAGGUCACCCUAUCAUCAGCAAAGGAUCCCUUGUCCCGGCAAUGGCCCCACCCACAGCUAAGAUGCGCUUCCCAUUAUCAGUAAUCAAGGUGAUCCCGCCACAGUGGUGACCAGUGGCUCAUCUCCCUGGUGAUUCUACAUUCUGUCGAGCUGUGGCUAAUUAACACUAAUGGCCAUUAGCAGCAUCUUAAUGACACGGUUCAGCUAAAAAUGUACUGAUGUUUCACCUCUUUAAUUAAUUUAACUUUGAUACGUUCUUUUAUUCUACAGGAAACUAUCUGUUGGCCUUUUCAACAUUGUUCACGCUCCUCUGUGGGGGUGGCCAUAGAGGCUGGGCUGAUUUUCAUCCCCACAAACAAAAUCUAAGGGUUCCUCCCCUCAACCCUAGCAUUUAAGAUUUUAAAAAAUUGAAUAAAGCUAAAAUGACUCACCACACUCAUAUUUGAAGUGCUGAAGGGCAAUGUGUGGCCACUCUAUGCCCAGGGAGGCUCUGGUCCCCGGAGAUAACCACACGGGGACCGGUUCUCUGCUCAGUGUCUAAGUAGGUGCCCAGAGAGGUUGGUGGGAGGGAUAUCCUGCAAUGUCCUUGACAGCAGCCACUGACCAGAGCAACUCAUAUAGCCCUGACCUCACCUGACGAUGCCAAAGCAAUCAAACAAUAGUAACGUCCGCCAUGUAUCUAUUCUGAGGACCUUUAGGCCAGAUUUAAAAAUAGACACACAGCUAGAUCAAAGAUGUAUUAUUAUAUUACUAGGGGGAUGGAGGAAAAUCAAGUUGUACCAUGUGACAAUUUUUUUAAUACUGUACUUUUAAGAUGAAGGCUAGAUGGGAUCUGGAGAAAUGGCUUGGUGGUUUAGAGCACAGUUUGUUCUUCCAGAGUACCUGGCUUCCAUUCCCAGCACUCACAUGGUGGCUUACAGCCACAAUAACUCUGGUUUAAGGGGAACUGAUGCCCUCUUCUGGCCUUCUUGGGCACUGCAUACAGAAGGUACACAGACAUAUAUUGUAGGCAAAACACAUAUAAAAUAAAAAUAAGCCUUCUAAAAAGCAAAUGAUAAGUCAUUAAUAGGUAGCAGACACGUAGAUAAACAGGACACAGCCAGGAUACCUGGAUCUAUUGAUGUGAGGUCAGAAGUUCAAUCCUCCAACUUAAAAAGCCUGUGUGGCUAUGAAUGACGGUCAUCUUAGCAAGCAGGAUUUGCUGACCAGGCUGCCACACUGAAUUGAUGAAUUCUCCAUUCAGUGAAGGAUCCUGUCUAAAUAAAUUGAGUGAUGUGCAGUUGAGCCAGGAAGACAUCUGAUGUCAAUAUUCUCAUUCGUUAGUUAAUUAGUUAGCUAGUUUUUGUCUACUUGACACAGCUAGAGUUAUCUGAGAAGAGGGAGAAAAUGAGAAAAAGUUCCUAUCAGACUGGCCUGUAGGUGACUCAGUGGAGCAUCUCCUUGAUUACUGAUGUAAUCAAGAUGUGGGACGAUGUGGGGGAAAUGUGGGAAGGCCCCUGGGGUAGCCCUGAGUGAUGUAAGGGAGCAGGGUAAGCAAGCCAUGAGGACCAAGCCAGUGAGAAAGGGUUCUUUCAUAGUCUCUGCUUCGGGUCCUGCCCCUAGAGUUUGGUUCCCCUCAGAUAAUGUACUGCCACAGGGAUAUGUAAGCUGAAUAAACCUUUCCUUUUCAAGUUGCUUUUGGUUAUGGUUUUUUACCACAACAAUAAAAAACAAACUUGGGGGUCAACCUCUGGCCUCUGCACUGGACACAUGCACGUGUGUACAAUGACCCAAACACUUGAUGCACACACAUGUGCACACAUGCACACACACACACACACACAUACACACACUCAGGGGUGGCUACCUCUGUACUUCCCUGGAGGGAGAAAGAUAACUCAGAUCAACCUGGGUUUGAUAAGAAGUUGAGCCUUCAAGUAGUCCUCACAUAAUUAAAACUAACUUAGAAGAAGAAAGAACUUAAGGAAGGGGAAGUCAUGACAGAAGCAGAAAGAUAAACAAAGAACCCAAUUAAAUAGAAUUAAUUGCAGCACACAUUAUAAGGUGGCUAAAUAAGUUAUCACAUGGCACAAUAUUUAAUGCGAAUGUCAAAAGUAAUUCUUCAAGGAGAAGAUAUACAAAUUACAUGGUGGCCUCUCUAUAAGCUGAAAAUGGGAAAUGCCAGGCAGUGAUCAAAACUAAUUUACGAAGCUUUUUGCCUCCGGAGCUUGGCUAGCGGCCAGAGAACACAUCCCAGGCUGCUGCUGUUGCAGAGGCUUCAGCCACAGGACCGUUGGCAUCCAUCCUCCUGCUCAGCGUUUCCCAGCCUGCACAGCGGUUGUUCCCAGUUCUUCUUGCAGGCUCAGACCCUCUGUUCCUUUUCUUCCUUCAGCCUUCUCUUUUUACAUGGCUUAAAUGUAUGUGUGGAUAAAUGGUAAUUGGGGAACAAUGCCUAACCAGCACAGCCUUGCUUUGGGCUGGGGCUAGAGGCGGGGAAAUGGCUAAUGAAGCCUAUAGGACAUGCAUGGAUGCAUCUAAUUCUGAAUUCAAACCCCAAAUUACCCUAACCCCUCCUGACACUGAAUAAAUAAAUUAGUCAAGAACGAUAAUUAAAUUAGAAGAGGCCAGAGAAUCAUCAUGAACUCCAUUGAAAAGCACCCUGAACUCAGAGCUUCUCAGAAGUGUUUGCUGGGUUGAAAACACAACAUCCUCAGUCAGGAACUGUGGGUGUGUGUCUGAGAAUAAGGCAAAAAUGGACAGGUUAUUAAAAAUAGAACAUUGUCAGCACAAGGACAGUAUGAUUCAUGCUGCAAAUGACAGGCAGAGGCUGUUGACCUCAGGAAGGACGAAAUGCCACCCAGUGGAACAGCACAGACAAAGCCUGGCAGAGUAGAUCCUUUCAAAGCUUGCUGUGUCGUGCUUCCGGGCCUGCCUAAUGCAAAGCAAACCAGAGGUGCACAGAGAAGAGACAAAGGAUGCCUAAAAUAACCGGAAUACAAAGUAAAAGAAACAGAGCAGUAGCCUUAGCUGGGGAGGGAAGAGGACAGGAACACAAAGCAUUCUAGACAGAGUAUUGUUUCACUGUGCAGAAUAACACUCACACACACACACACACACACACACACACACACACACACACACACACACGACCAGUAUAGUAACACUCACAGAUAACUGAAGCACUGAAGGAGAGAUAGGAGAAAUAGAUAUUGGGCUGACGAAAUGGCACAGCGAGUAAAGGUGCUUGCUGCCAAGGCCGACAACCUGAGUUCAGUCCUUGGAACCCGCAAGAGGGAAGGAGAGAACCAAUUCCCACGAGUUGUCCCCUGACCACCACGCGUGUGCCAUGGUAUACAAGCCCACAUGAAGACACACAGGGAUACACAAAUAAAUAAAUAAAAAUAUCUUUCGAAUAGAUAUUGUCCAGGAAAGUGCAGUUCUGUCUCUAAGCCUCUUUACCGUAACCAACACCCGUUUCUGCUGCAGGAGCAAUCCUGUGAGCUGCUUCUCUUUACGCAUCAGACACAGAGCUUCCCAAGGACUGAAACAUGUUUCCCUCACUCUAGAGCGUGUUAAGACACCCGAUACACAACGGGGACCAGACUGUUGAUAAUAAAACAAUUGAAUAGGAUGUUUGGCAAAGAUAGUUCAAAAAGGUGGUUUUGGUUUUUGUUUUAAAUUUACUUCAUUUGAUUUUAAUUAAAGAUAUAGCAUGAAGGGUAGGGAGAUGGCUUAGUCAAUAAAACACUUCCACAACCUAAGUUUUAUUCCCAGAACUCACUUUAAAAAACAAACAAACAAUCAAAAACUGCACAUGAGCUAGAGAGAUGGCUCAGCUGUUAAGAGCACUGGGGGCUCUUGCAGAGGUUCUGGGUUCUGUUACCAGCACCCAUAUGGUGGCUCACAACCAUCUGUAAUUCCAGUAUCAGGCAAUCGGAAACCCUCAGGUUCUGGCUUCCAUGGGUAUCAGACAGAUACCUGGUACAUCGACCUGAAUGCAGACACUCAUACAUUAUAUAAAAACCUAAGUAAGAAAGAGAGAGAGAGAGGAAGGAAGGAAGGAAGGAAGGAAGGAAGGAAGGAAGGAAGGAAGGAAGGAAAGAAAGGAAGAAAGAAAGAAAGAAAGAAAGAGAGAAAGAAAGAGAGAAAGAAAGCAAACAAGCAAGCAAGAAUGAAAAAGAAAGAUAGAAAUCCUAGCACUGGGGAGGUGGGGAAAGUGGGUCCCCACGCUCACAGAUCUAGUUUUCUCCACUGGUCUCCACAAGCAGGCACAUGAACACCCACAUGGGGACCCAUAAACAUGGACACACAUACACAGAAACUUGAACACAUGUGUCUUACACUGUUCCUUGCACUGAGUCAGUUCUUGGAUCCAGAAGUGUGUACACAGUUCACACACUGGCUGAGUCCAUUGUACUAGAUUAGCAAGAAGGAGCCACUCCAAAGCCAAGUGUAGCCUGAGACAUCAAAGAGGCAAGCGCUAUUUUCCAUGACAACCCUCUGCAGGACUGCCAGGCCGAUCCACAGCAAAAUGCUUACCUGACACUCACAGAUGGUUUGCACCUUAAAGCAAACAAACGAGUGAGUCCCCUGACAAACAUGACGGCUGUAUCAGGCAUUUAUUAUUUUGACUUCAGCACCACUGAAACCAACCUCUGACUAAAGCUGAGAGGUCUUGCCAUUUUCAGACUUAGAAAAAAAGAAAGAAAAGACAGGAAUGUGUAAAGUUAAGGCAUAGUUUAAUGUUCUGUUCAGCAGCAGCUAGCAUGCUUUAUAGAGUGCUUAGAAUGUUCUAGAAAUCUAGUUAGGGCAAGAAAAUUAUCACAAAGAUGGAUGACCAGCUCCAACCCUAGAACCCACAUGGUAGAAGGAAAGAGCCAACUCCCACAGCCUUCUGAAGUCCACCUAUGCACUGUGGCACACACACCUAUACACACACACACCAUAAUACACACACAGUAACAAGAACUAAAAGCAAGUAUUUAAAAACCUAAGACUCUUUAGAUAGAAGUCCAUCUUUUGUAUUCUAAAACUCCUUGGGUCCCACAACCUCAGAGUGUUUUGUUAGGGGCCAUGGAGUUCAUUGGCAUUCACACUUCAAGCGAAGCUAAAACGAAGAACCAACUGUUAUCCUACAGAAAGGUUGACAACGUUGAAAAAUCUAAAACGGAGCAAGAGAUCAACUAUUCUCAGCCAGAGAGGACAAAAUGCAACGUCAAGACUUAAAUCAUGGAAUCAACAGAUCCUAAGUGAUAAGUACACACAAGAGUUCACGUGCUACUCAGACAUAUAGAAUUCACAUAAACAUGGAAAUGUGUGAGGACAAACAGAAGCCGAGUGCUUCCCAAGGCAGAAGCUAGAGAGUCAGGCACUCGAUAGAAGCAAAGAGCAAAAUUAUGCUAAUUUUUGAUUUGUGCACUUGCAUGUGCUCGUGUAUGCGUGUGUGCAAUGAGCAUGCACAGGCAGGUAGCAUAUGUGCCACAGCAGCACUGUGCUGUCAGGAGACAGCUCUCUAGAGUCAGGUCUCUCCUGCUACCUUGUGGGACUGGAGAUGAAAUUUAGGUCUUCAGACCUGUGUGUGGGCACCUGAACCUCCAAGCCAUCUCACUGGCCCGCACGUAUUUAUUUAUUUAUUUAUUUAUCUAUUUAUUUAUUUUAAGAAAUCAAAAUACUUACAAGUCUUGGGGGAGGGGACGGCAAAUCAUCCAAGGCCAGGCACAGUGAUGCCCACCUGUAAUCGUAGCUCUCAGAGUGUGAGUUAUGAGGAUCUUAGGUUCAAGGCCAAUAUUAGUCCGUAGGACGAUCCUUAGGAGGGUGAGAGUUAUAGAGAGGGGGACGGGAGGGGGGAGAGAGGGAGGAGAACGGACCAUUCCUUGAGGAAAAGAGGUCUGCAGUUUCUAUAGAAAAUGAAAACGAAAUCAUGGAGCUAUCAAUAUGGAAAAGGUGUAGCGAGCUCUGUAGCCAGAGGUGAAAUCAAAGAAAUAGUAAUCUUAAAUAUUUUUAUCAUGUGAGAAUGGAGACAGUUCUGACAGUGAGGCAAAGGGCAUCUCUGUGGGUGGAGUUCUCACCACGCAAUCAUGAGCACUGAAAUCAGGGUCCCCAGCACUGGCAUAAACACCAGAAUGCACGGUGGGCACUGCUGCCCGCCUAGCAUGCCAAAGUACUGGAGACAGGCUUCUCCACUGGAAAGCUCUGGGGUCAAGAGAGAGAUUCUGUCUCAAAAAUAAAGGUGGGGAGCCGGGCGUGGUGGCGCACGCCUUUAAUCCCAGCACUCGGGAGGCAGAGGCAGGCAGAUUUCUGAGUUGGAGGCCAGCUUGGUCUACAAAGUGAGUUCCAGGACAGCCAGGGCUACACAGAGAAACCCUGUCUCGAAAAAAAAAAGGGGGGGGGGGAGUUGUGGAGAAAAGGACCCUAGUACCAGCCUGUGGCCUCCACACAUAGGUGAUGUAACCCAUCCACCCACACCCGCACCCACAAAUUCUAGCACUCACAUGUAAGCAUGCAUGGAUGCCAUACACAAAAACACAAGAAGGGGACUGUCAAGAUGGCUCAGCAAAUAAGAGCACUGUCUGCUCUUCUGAAGGUCCUGAGUUCAAAUCCCAGCAACCACAUGGUGGCUUGCAACCACCCAUAAUGAGAUCUGACGCCCUCUUCUGGCGCAUCUGAAGACAGUUACAGUGUACUUAUGUAUAAUAAUAAAUAAAUCUUAAAUAAACAAACAAAUGACAAGAAGAAAGAAAAGGAUGCGUGAGAAAGGGCCAAGGAGCUGUGAGCGGCAGGUAAACAGAAGGACUCAGGAUAAAACCUGACAUCACUGAAUUA